rnacentral:rRNA from 1 species
ACACCGGCGGCUCGAGUGGUAACCGUUAUUAUUGGGUCUAAAGGGUCUGUAGCCGGCCGGAUAAGUCUCUUGAGAAAUCUGGCAGCUUAACUGUCCGGCUUUCAGGAGAUACUGUCUGGCUCGAGGCCGGGAGAGGUGAGAGGUACUUCAGGGGCAGGGGUGAAAUCUUUUAAUCCUUGAAGGACCACCAGUGGCGAAGGGGUCUCACCAGAACGGACCUGACGGCAAGGGACGAAAGCUAGGGGCACGAACCGGAUUAGAUACCCGGGUAGUCCUAGCCGUAAACGAUACUCGCUAGGUGUCGGCCACGGUGCGACCGUUGUCGGUGCCGUAGGGAAGCCGUGAAGCGAGCCACCUGGGAAGUACGGCCGCAAGGCUGAAACUUAAAUGAAUUGGCGGGG